rnacentral:rRNA from 1 species
AUGGAGAUGGUGGAGAAGCUUUCUCUCACCACAAGACCACAUCCACAUCCUUACUACAUCCAAUGGUUCAACAACAGCGGCAAGGUUAAGGUAACACGUACUGUUCGUGUGCAUUUUAGUAUAUCUACAUAUGCUGAUUAUGUUGAUUGUGAUGUGGUACCUAUGCAAGCAUGUUCCUUAUUACUUGGUAGACCAUGGCAAUUUGAUAAAAAUUCUGUACACCAUGGUAGAAACAAUCACUAUACUCUUGUUCAUAAGGAUAAAAAUAUUACUUUGCUUCCUAUGACUCCUGAUUCCAUUUUGAAAGAUGAUAUUAAUAGAGCUAAUAAAGCAAAACAGGAGAAGAAUAAGAGUGAAAAUCAGAUUGUGGCAAAAGAAUUUGAGCAACAAAUGAAGCCUAAUAAUAAACCAUCUAGUGUUGCUUCUGAAAUUAAAUUGAAAAGUGCAUGUUUCUUUGCCACCAAAUCUGAUAUUGAUGAGCUAGAUUUCAGCAAAUCUGUUUGCUAUGCUUUUGUGUGCAAAGAGGCAUCAUUUUCAUUCGAGGACGUGCCUUCCUCUUUGCCUCCUGCUGUCACUAACAUUUUGCAGGAGUUCGCUGACGUUUUCCCACAAGACGUGCCACCGGGAUUACCGCCUAUUCGAGGGAUUGAGCAUCAGAUUGACUUAAUUCCCGGUGCUUCACUGCCAAACCAUGCACCAUACCGUACCAAUCCAGAGGAGACGAAGGAGAUUAUGCGUCAAGUACAAGAGCUUCUCGACAAAGGUUAUAUACGCGAAUCCCUUAGUCCUUGUGUUGUUUCUAUUAUUCUAGUGCCGAAAAAGGAUGGUACAUCACGUAUGUGUGUUGAUUGUAGAGGCAUUAAUAAUAUUACUAUUCGUUAUCGUCAUCCUAUUCCUAGGCUAGAUGAUAUGCUUGAUGAAUUGAGUGGCUCUACAAUAUUCUCCAAAGUUUAUUUGCGUAGUGGCUACCAUCAAAUUCGUAUGAAAUUGGGAGAUGAAUGGAAAACAGCAUUUAAAACUAAGUUUGGAUUAUAUGAGUGGUUAGUCAUGCCUUUUGGGUUAACUAAUGCACCUAGUACUUUCAUGAGAUUAAUGAACGAAGUUUUACGUGCUUUCAUUGGACGAUUUGUGGUAGUUUACUUUGAUGACAUAUUGAUUUAUAGCAGAUCUUUGGAAGAACAUUUGGAACAUUUACGUGCUGUUUUUAUUGCUCUAUGUGAUGGACGUUUGUUUGGUAACCUUGGGAAGUGCACCUUUUGCACCGACCGAGUAUCUUUUCUUGGCUAUGUUGUUACUCCACAGGGAAUUGAAGUUGAUAAAGCCAAGAUUGAAGCUAUUGAGAGUUGGCCGCAGCCCAAAAUGGUCACACAAGUGAGGAGUUUUCUUGGCCUCGCUGGAUUCUAUAGGCGUUUUGUGAGAGAUUUCAGCACCAUUGAUGCACCUCUCAAUGAGCUUACAAAGAAAGAUGUGCCUUUUCUUUGGGGUACCGCACAGGAAGAAGCCUUCACGGUAUUGAAAGAUAAGUUGACACAUGCUCCUUUACUCCAACUUCCUGAUUUUAAUAAGACUUUUGAGCUUGAAUGUGAUGCUAGUGGAAUUGGAUUAGGAGGUGUGUUAUUACAAGAUGGCAAACCUGUUGCAUACUUUUCUGAAAAAUUGAGUGGGCCUAGUCUGAAUUAUUCUACUUAUGAUAAAGAAUCAUAUGCUCUUGUUCGUACUUUAGAAACAUGGCAACAUUAUUUAUGGCCCAAAGAAUUUGUUAUACAUUCUGAUCAUGAAUCUUUGAAACAUAUUAAAAGUCAAGCUAAACUGAAUCGUAGACAUGCUAAAUGGGUUGAAUUCAUUGAGACUUUCCCUUAUGUCAUUAAACACAAGAAGGGAAAAGAAAAUGUUAUCGCUGAUGCAUUGUCUCGUCGCUAUACUAUGCUUUCACAACUUGACUUCAAAAUAUUUGGUUUGGAGACCAUCAAAGAUCAAUAUGUGCAUGAUGCUGAUUUUAAAGAUGUAAUGCAGAAUUGUAAAGAAGGAAGAAUGUGGAACAAGUUUGUUGUUAACGAUGGAUUUGUGUUUCGUGCUAACAAGCUAUGCAUUCCAGCUAGCUCCGUUCGUCUUUUGUUGUUGCAGGAGGCGCAUGGAGGAGGAUUAAUGGGACACUUUGGCGUGAAGAAGACGGAGGACGUACUUGCUACACAUUUCUUUUGGCCAAAGAUGAGACGGGAUGUUGAGCGUUUUAUUGCUCGCUGCACUACAUGUCAAAAAGCUAAGUCACAACUCAAUCCUCAUGGUUUAUAUAUGCCUUUGCCUGUACCUAGUGUUCCUUGGGAGGAUAUAUCUAUGGAUUUUGUUUUAGGUUUACCUCGAACAAAGAAGGGGAGGGAUAGCAUAUUUGUUGUCGUGGAUAGAUUCUCGAAAAUGGCACACUUUAUACCAUGUCAUAAAAGCGAUGAUGCUGUUAAUGUUGCUGAUUUGUUCUUUCGUGAAAUUAUUCGCUUGCAUGGUGUGCCAAAUACUAUUGUUUCAGAUCGUGAUACUAAAUUUCUUAGCCACUUUUGGAGAUGUUUAUGGGCUAAGUUGGGGACUAAACUGCUUUUUAGUACUACUUGUCACCCCCAAACUGAUGGACAAACUGAAGUAGUCAAUAGAACGUUGUCUACUAUGCUUAGGGCUGUUUUGAAGAAUAAUAAGAAAAUGUGGGAGGAAUGCUUGCCUCAUAUUGAAUUUGCUUAUAAUCGUUCAUUGCAUUCUACUACUAAGAUGUGCCCUUUUGAAGUUGUGUAUGGUUUCCUACCUCGUGCACCCAUUGAUUUGUUGCCUCUUCCAUCUUCGGAGAAGGUUAAUUUUGAUGCUAAACAACGUGCUGAAUUGAUUUUAAAAAUGCAUGAGUUAACUAAGGAAAACAUUGAGCGCUUGAAUGCUAAAUAUAAACUUGCUGGAGAUAAGGGUAGAAAACAUGUUGUGUUUGCACCUGGAGAUCUUGUUUGGUUACAUUUGCGUAAGGAUAGAUUUCCUGAUUUGCGCAAAUCAAAGUUAAUGCCACGUGCUGAUGGUCCCUUUAAGGUGUUAGAGAAAAUAAAUGAUAAUGCAUAUAAACUUGAGCUGCCUGCAGAUUUUGGGGUUAGUCCCACUUUUAACAUUGCAGAUUUGAAGCCUUAUUUGGGUGAGGAAGAUGAACUUCCGUCGAGGACGACUUCAUUUCAAGAAGGGGAGGAUGAUGAGGACAUCAAUACAAUUGUUACACCCACAGCCCCUGCUGCUAUACAUACUGGACCAAUUACUAGAGCUCGUGCACGCCAACUAAAUUACCAGGUACUUUCGUUUCUUGGUAAUGAUUCUAAUGUUCAUUGA